UACGGGGGGGGCAAGCGUUGUUCGGAAUUACUGGGCGUAAAGGGCUCGUAGGUUGCCAACUAAGUCAGACGUGAAAUCCCUCGGCUUAACCGGGGAACUGCGUCUGAUACUGGAUGGCUUGAGUUCGGGAGAGGGAUGCGGAAUUCCAGGUGUAGUGGUGAAAUGCGUAGAGAUCCGGAGGAAUACCAGAGGCGAAGGCGGCAUCCUGGCCUAAAACUGACACUGAGACGCGAAAGCCAGGGGAGCAAACGGG
rnacentral:rRNA from 1 species